rnacentral:lncRNA from 1 species
UAGAAAGGAAAUCUUUUAAAAACAUAUUUUAGAGUGUUUUAUUGUGGAAAUGUCCUCAAACAUUUUCAUCCCAUUUUCCCAGAGAAGCCUGACAGCCCAGGGAGCAGGGGCGGGGCUGGGGUGGGGAAGAACAAAACGCAGCGGCCACACCCUUGAACUCUUUUGUGUGUUCAGAACAAUGUCUAGUUAAAAUAAAACAAUAUUGCCGCUAAGCACGCCUAAAAUAGUCCUCGGUGAGUGCUCCUGCCCCAUGGCAGGGUCCCUGCGGAGGGCGGUGCGCGGGGGCCGAGGGCCCGGGCCUGAGCUCGGCCCGGCCGGCAGCGGGGCGCACGGAGGCUGGGUGCCCCGCAGCCCGGGCACAGCUGGCACGGCCGGCUGCCCGGGCCCUCACGCCCAUCCCGCCGCCGGCCCUGCACCCGGGCGGAAAGCAAAAGCCCGGGCCAGGCCCGGGGGGCGGGUGAAGCUCAUAAAGCAGAAGUCACGAAGUCUGGAGCUCCGGCCAGAUUUCCUGGGAAGGCUGGGACUCGUUACCACAAGAGCAGGCCAUGAUACAGUGAACCCAGCGCCUCCGGCUUCGGCCUGUUCUGUGUGCACCCCCUUGACUUCUGCUCUCCCAGCGCUACCGCAAAGCGCGCGAGCCGUUGGGUGCGGCUCCUGAUCCUGAAUUUCCAGCCUCCAGACCUGUGAG